UCACCCUUCAAGCACUUAAGCUUGUGUUGAGCUUAUUUUUGUUCUUUUAAUGAACAGGCUCGAAAUGCAGUGGCGAUGCUGAGUUUGGUGCCCAAGCAUUAUAGGGCUUUGUCACAUGCUUUGGUGGCCCAGACCGGUAAAUAUUCUGCCUGGCUAUAUAAUUAUAUAUAAAUUUUAAUCAC
rnacentral:misc_RNA from 1 species